AGGACGAACGCUGGCGGCGUGCUUAACACAUGCAAGUCGAGCGGUAAGGCCUCUUCGGGGGGUACACGAGCGGCGAACGGGUGAGUAACACGUGAGCAAUCUGCCCUUCACUUCGGGAUAAGCCUCGGAAACGGGGUCCAAUACCGGAUAUGACCAUGCCAUGCAUGUGGCGUGGUGGAAAGUUCUGGCGGUGGGGGAUGAGCUCGCGGCCUAUCAGCUUGUUGGUGGGGUAAUGGCCUACCAAGGCUUCGACGGGUAGCCGGCCUGAGAGGGUGACCGGCCACACUGGGACUGAGACACGGCCCAGACUCCUACGGGAGCAGCAGGUGGGAAUAUUGGACAAUGGGCAAAGCCUGAUCCAGCAACGCCGCGUGAGGAUGACGGCCGUUCGGGUUGUAACCUCGUUUCACGCGCCGACGAGCGAGAGGUGACGGUAGGCGCAGAAGAAGGCCACCGGACCUAACGACGUCGGACCA
rnacentral:rRNA from 1 species